rnacentral:rRNA from 1 species
CCCCACUGCUAUCGGGAUGGGACUAAGACAUGCUAGUCGAGCGUCUCCAAGCUAUGGAAGAGACGCGGCACACAGCUCAGUAACACGUGGCUAACCUGCCCUUGGGACAAGGACAACUCCGGGAAACUGGGGCUAAUCCCUGAUAAGUGAGAACUCCUGGAAUGGAUUCUCGCUCAAAGGACGUUUAGACCAUGCUUCUAGGCGUCGCCCAAGGAGGGGGCCGCGACCGAUCAGGUUGUUGGUGAGGUAACGGCUCACCAAGCCUUUAACCGGUACGGGCCGUGAGAGCGGAAGCCCGGAGAUGGGCACUGAGACAAGGGCCCAGGCCCUACGGGGCGCAGCAGUCGCGAAAACUCCGCAAUACACGAAAGUGUGACGGGGCCAUCCCGAGUGCCAUCCGCUGAGGAUGGCUUUUCCCCAGUGUAUAAAGCUGGGGGAAUAAGGGGAGGGCAAGCCUGGUGUCAGCCGCCGCGGUAAUACCAGCUCUCCGAGUGGUGGGGAUGUUUAUUGGGCCUAAAGCAUUCGUAGCCUGCUUGGCAAGUCCUCCGUUAAAUCCAACGAUUCAAUCGUUGGGCUGCGGGGGAUACUGUCCGGCUAGGGGGCGGAAGAGGCCGACGGUAUCCUCGGGGUAGGGGUGAAAUCCUAUAAUCCCGGGAGGACCACCAGUGGCGAAGGCUGUCGGCUAGAACGCGCCCGACGGUGAGGGAUGAAAGCUGGGGGAGCGAACCGGAUUAGAUACCCGGGUAGUCCCAGCUGUAAACGAUGCGGGCUAGGUGUUGGGGUAGCCACGAGCUGCUCCAGUGCCGCAGAGAAGUUGUUAGGCCCGCCGCCUGGGGAGUACGGCCGCAAGGCUGAAACUUAAAGGAAUUGGCGGGGGAGCACCACAAGGGGUGAAGGCUGCGGUUU